CCCUGUUCCAUAUGCUUUCCUCUGCGAUUCCACGUUUCUUUCACGUCCAAAUCUCUCUUUUUAUCAUUACCGACUAUCUUUUCUCUUUAACAUCUUCGUUCCACAUGAUUUCCUCUGUGUCAUUUCACGUUUCUUCCGCAUUCUUUCCUGUGUUAAAUGGGUCCACAUAUCCAUAUUCCAUACAAUUUCGCGUUUCUUCUACAAUGUUUCAGAUGCAAAUCUCUCUUUUUAUCAUCUUUUCCCUCUUCCACAUUCAUUCCACCGAGUACUCAAUUUACUAAUCCGAUCUUUUCUUAUUUUAAUUCCCUGCUUUCUCUUCCCUUAGACACAAUUUUCUGCCUCGCCUGAAAAUAUCUUUAUAGCCUGUCUUCAUUGAUUUUAGUCUCAUUGCUUCUCUGUGUUGAAUUUAAUCUAAUCCCAUGGCAUCAAUUUCUACCACUUCUGGUCGAACAGAGAGGGAGCCUGCAAACGCCUGUCAAGGAAUGGCACCGUCUUCUUCUUCCUCUUCUCCAUCAUCGUCUCGAAGCUUGUUUUCAUGGUGCUUUGAUUGGGUUUCUUUCUUCCUUUCAUGGCGCUCAAUGGAAUCCAAUUCCAUGGACUCUACUUCAGGUAGCACUGGCUGUAUCCCAGACAAUGAGGGUAUUAUGGGUGCUAUCCAUGAAAUCGCACCAUAUUCAUCUACUUCAGGUACAUCCUCAAUACCACUCCAAAAGCCCUCUUUUGAUGUGUUCAUUAACCAUCGUGGGCCAGAUGUCGAAAAAACGUUAGCCUGCAGAAUCUAUGAUAUCCUCCAUGGCAUGAAGGUCACAGCUUUUCUGGAUUCAGAGGAGUUGGAAUGUGGGGACUUCUUGCCUAAACAAUAGAAGCAGCAAUCCGCUGUGCUACCCUUCAUAUAGCAAUUUUUUCAGAGAGCCAUGCAGAAUCAGCAUGGUGUUCGGAAGAGUUGUCAUUAAUGCUUAAAAGUGGUGAAAAAUUGUUCCCAUUUUCUACUAUGUAGAGCCUGCUGAUCUCAGAUAUGUUGCUCAGGAGAAAGGAAAGUACGUUGCUGCCUUUAACAAGCAUGAAAAGAAGCGUAGAUAUAAGCCAGAAAAGCUUCAGGAAUGGAAAAAAGGCACUCUCCGAGGUCUCACUGUACAGUGGCCAAAUCAUAAACAAUAAUGGUGAUGAGAUGAGGCUGUUCAAGAAUAUGGUAAAUAUUGUACUGAAAGAAAUACGCGAUGUGCAAUUAGUAGUUGCAAAACACCCUGUAGGUCUCGAUGAAGCAGUGGAAGACUUUGAAAAUACACUCCAACUUGUUUCAAGUGAUCAGGGUGUACAGAUUGUGGGUAUUUGGGGUAUGGGUGGUUCGGGCAAGAUCACACUUGCCAAAGAAUUAUACAACAAAAGGUUUUUCUUCAUGGAGAGGUCUUGUUUUAUUUUUGAUAUUAGAGAAGCUAAGGGUGUGUUGCAGAAGAAGCAGAUUGAACUCCUCAAAGGCCUUGGUGUGAAUGAAACAGUCGACAAUGUAGAGCAAGGUAAGGCAAUUCUUGCAAGACAUUUAAGAUCUUUUAAGAUGCUCAUUGUUUUGAAUGAUGUGAAUCAUGUGGACCAAUUGGAUGCACUUUUACUUGCAAAAGACAGCCUUGAAGAGGUAGUCUAAUCAUUGUUACAACACGAGAAUGUGAAGUACUUACAUCUUUAGAUCCAAUUAAUGCAAAACAACUUUUUUUUUGGCAUGCAUUCUUAAAUCCUUCUCCCAUUCAUGGAUUUGAUAAGCUUGUUAACAAGUUUGUGGAAGCCUGCCAUGGAUUGCCCGUCUCUCAAGGUAUUUGGAGGACAGCUAUAUGGAAAAUCAAACAAACAAUAUUGAGUGUCUUUAUUUCAUAAGAUAUCAAGAAUAUUGUCUUAUGCUAUCAAAGAGAAAUUUAAAUUAAGUUAUGACACUCUUGAUGAUAAAGAAAAAGAGGCAUUCCUUGAUACAGCAUGUUUCUUUAUUGGAGAAGAGAAGAGUUUGGCAAUUGAAGUUUGGGAUGGAUCAGGGUGGAGUGGUCUGUACAGUUGGGAAAGGCUUCUAAAUAAGUGUUUGGUAGAGGUUGACGAUAAUAAUUGCAUAAGAAUGCAUGAUCACUUAAGAGAUUUAAGAAGGGACAUUGCAAAUCAACAUUGACCCUCCCGAUUUUGGUUAUUACAACAGAUUAUUGAUUUCAGCAAACAAACAAAAGAGUAAGAAAACAAAUUGCAUUCGAGGAAUUAAGGUUUCCCCAACUAGAAGAGAAGGGCAGUUGUCAUAUGGAGAACACAUAAGUGGGGGAAUCUUGUUUCUCAGACCCUCUUUGGUUGGACUAAAGCUUUUGGUGAUUGAAGGAGAUUAUGUUAACCAAGUAAUUGGUGAGGCAUCAAGAGACCUGCUCUGGCUUCGGUGGUCUUAUAUUGGACAGAGAAAUCUUCCAACACGACUUUCAUUGAAAAAUUUGAGGGUUUUAGAACUAUAUGGAUCAUAUUGGCAGAAUUCCUUAGAAAAGUUAUGGAGGCUGAGAGCGAUGCUCCAGUGCAAUUAAGAGAAUUGAUUAUUUCUCAUUGCCCCAAACUCCAAAGAUUCCCAAAGUCAAUAGGGUGUCUCAACGAGUUGAAAACGAUAGUAAUCAAAGCUUGCAGCAAUACAGAUAGUCUUCCAAAAGAAUUUUGUCGUUUGAAAUUGUUGGGGCACCUCGAAUUAUCUGAUUGUAAAAAGCUAUCAUUACUACCCAGAAGGUUCGGCGAUUUGGCAAAUAUGCGGUAUUUAGAUUUGGUCGGGUGCAGCAACUUGAAGGAAUUACCAGUUUCUUUUAAGAACUUGGUUCUCCUGCAAUUUCUCAAUUUAAAGGGGUGUAAAGAGCUCAUAUUUAGGUCAGAUGAUUUCCAGAACAUUACAAAGCUGGAAUUUUUUAACCUUUCUGGGUGUGCAAAAUUAGGGGAGCUGCCUCGUGAUAUCACAAAUCAGGCGUCCUUGAAAGAGCUCCUUUUAGAUGGUGUGGAGAGGUUGAGGGAGCUGCCAAUUCAAAUCGGUCAACUAAGCAGGCUGCGAAAGAUGGACAUAAGGAGGAGUGAUUUGUUGAUAGGUUUUCCAAACUCUCUUGGAGAUCUGUCCUCCUUAUGAGAUCUUAUAAUUUGUAAUUGUCCCAGCCUGGAAUCUUUGCCUAACUCUCUUGAAAACUUGUCCUCCCUAACAGAUCUUUCAAUUCAGAAUUGUUCCAAUCUGAAAUCUUUGCAAACCUCUUUUGGAAACUUGCCCUCCUUGACAAAUAUUUCAAUU